UAAGGAAUAUUGGUCAAUGGACGCAAGUCUGAACCAGCCAUGCCGCGUGAAGGAUGAAGGUCCUCUGGAUUGUAAACUUCUUUUAUCUGGGACGAAAACGGGAUUUUUAUCUCAAUUGACGGUACCAGAGGAAUAAGCACCGGCUAACUCCGUGCCAGCAGCCGCGGUAAUACGGAGGGUGCGAGCGUUAUCCGGAUUUACUGGGUUUAAAGGGUGCGUAGGUGGGCUUAUAAGUCAGUGGUGAAAUCUCCGAGCUUAACUUGGAAACUGCCGUUGAUACUAUAGGUCUUGAAUUAUCUGGAGGUGAGAGGAAUAUGUCAUGUAGCGGUGAAAUGCUUAGAUAUGACAUAGAACACCAAUUGCGAAGGCAGCUUACUACAUAUAAAUUGACGCUGAGGCACGAAAGCGUGGGGAUCAAA
rnacentral:rRNA from 1 species